rnacentral:rRNA from 1 species
GACGAACGCUGGCGGCGUGCCUAAUACAUGCAAGUCGAACGCAGUGGGGACGGGUGAGUAACACGUGGGUAACCUCCCAUCAGAGGGGAUAACACUUGGAAACAGGUGCUAAACCGAUACUGAUGGAUGGACCCGCGGUGCAUUAGCUAGUUGGUGAGGUAACGGCUCACCAAGGCCACGAUGCAUAGCCGGCCUGAGAGGGUGAUCGGCCACACUGGGACUUGGGAACGGCCCAGACUCCUAAGGGAGGCAGCAGUAGGGAAACUUCGGCAAUGGACGGAAGUCUGACCGAGCAACGCCCGGUGAGUGGAGAAGGUUUUUGGGUCGUAAAACUCUGUUGUUAGAGAAGCGGUAUCUUACCAGAAAGGGACGGCUAACUACGUGCCAGCAGCCGCGGUAAUUC